GAAUGAAGAACGUAGCGAAAUGCGAUAAGUAAUGUGAAUUGCAGAAUUCAGUGAAUCAUCGAAUCUUUGAACGCACAUUGCGCCCGCCAGUAUUCUGGCGGGCAUGCCUGUUCGAGCGUCAUUACAACCCUCAGGCCCCCGGGCCUGGCGUUGGGGAUCGGCGGAAGCCCCCUGCGGGCACAACGCCGUCCCCCAAAUACAGUGGCAGUCCCGCCGCAGCUUCCAUUGCGUAGUAGCUAACACCUCGCAACUGGAGAGCGGCGCGGCCACGCCGUAAAACACCCAACUUCUGAAUGUUGACCUCGAAUCAGGUAGGAAUACCCGCUGAACUUAAGCAUAUCAAUAAGCGGAGGA
rnacentral:misc_RNA from 1 species